GACGAACGCUGGCGGCGUGCUUAACACAUGCAAGUCGAACGGUAAGGCCCUGCUUUUGUGGGGUGCUCGAGUGGCGAACGGGUGAGUAACACGUGAGUAACCUGCCCUUGACUUUGGGAUAACUUCAGGAAACUGGGGCUAAUACCGGAUAGGAGCUCCUGCUGCAUGGUGGGGGUUGGAAAGUUUCGGCGGUUGGGGAUGGACUCGCGGCUUAUCAGCUUGUUGGUGGGGUAGUGGCAUACCAAGGCUUUGACGGGUAGCCGGCCUGAGAGGGUGACCGGCCACAUUGGGACUGAGAUACGGCCCAGACUCCUACGGGAGGCAGCAGUGGGGAAUAUUGCGCAAUGGGCGGAAGCCUGAUGCAGCAACGCCGCGUGCGGGAUGACGGCCUUCGAGUUGUAAACCGCGUUCGCCUGUGACGAAGCGUGAGUGACGGUAAUGGGUAAAGAAGCACCGGCUAACUACGUG
rnacentral:rRNA from 1 species